rnacentral:rRNA from 1 species
UGCGGAGGAUGCGAGCGUUAUCCGGAUUUAUUGGGUUUAAAGGGUGCGUAGGCGGUCUGUUAAGUCAGCGGUAAAAUUGCGGGGCUCAACCCCGUCGAGCCGUUGAAACUGGCAGACUUGAGUUGGCGAGAAGUACGCGGAAUGCGCGGUGUAGCGGUGAAAUGCAUAGAUAUCGCGCAGAACUCCGAUUGCGAAGGCAGCGUACCGGCGCCACACUGACGCUGAGGCACGAAAGCGUGGGGAUCGAACAGG